rnacentral:rRNA from 1 species
CAGUCGCCGCGGUAAUACGUAGGGGGCUAGCGUUGUUCGGAAUUACUGGGCGUAAAGCGCACGUAGGCGGCUUGGUAAGUUAGAGGUGAAAGCCCGGAGCUCAACUCCGGAAUUGCCUUUAAGACUGCCGAGCUAGUAGGUGAGAGAGGUAAGUGGAAUUCCGAGUGUAGAGGUGAAAUUCGUAGAUAUUCGGAAGAACACCAGUGGCGAAGGCGGCUUACUGGCUCAUUCUAGACGCUGAGGUGCGAAAGCGUGGGGAGCAAACAGGAUUAGAUACCCCAGUAGUCCCUGUCUCUUAUAC